rnacentral:rRNA from 1 species
GCAAUACAUGGCGUACUGCUCAGUAACACGUGGACAACCUACCCUUAGGACGGGGAUAAACCCGGGAAACUGGGUAUAAUACCCGAUAGUCCUCGGAUGCUGGAAUGCCCCGAGUACUAAAGCUCCGGCGCCUAAGGAUGGGUCUGCGGCCUAUCAGGUAGUAGUGGGUGUAGCGUACCUACUAGCCUACGACGGGUACGGGUUGUGGGAGCAAGAGCCCGGAGAUGGAUUCUGAGACACGAAUCCAGGCCCUACGGGGUGCAGCAGGCGCGAAAACUUUACAAUGCUGGAAACAGCGAUAAGGGGACCUCGAGUGCCAGGUUACAAAUCUGGCUGUCGUGAUGCCUAAAAAGCAUUGCAUAGCAAGGGCCGGGCAAGACCGGUGCCAGCCGCCGCGGUAACACCGGCGGCUCGAGUGGUAACCGUUAUUAUUGGGUCUAAAGGGUCUGUAGCCGGCCGGAUAAGUCUCUUGGGAAAUCUGGCAGCUUAACUGUCAGGCUUUCAGGAGAUACUGUCUGGCUCGAGGCCGGGAGAGGUGAGAGGUACUUCAGGGGUAGGGGUGAAAUCUUGUAAUCCUUGAAGGACCACCAGUGGCGAAGGCGUCUCACCAGAACGGACCUGACGGCAAGGGACGAAAGCUAGGGGCACGAACCGGAUUAGAUACCCGGGUAGUCCUAGCCGUAAACGAUACUCGCUAGGUGUCGGCCACGGUGCGACCGUUGUCGGUGCCGUAGGGAAGCCGUGAAGCGAGCCACCUGGGAAGUACGGCCGCAAGGCUGAAGCUUAAAGGAAUUGGCGGGGGAGCACCACAACGGGUGGAGCUUGCGGUUUAAUUGGAUUCAACGCCGGAAAGGGC